UAGUCCCAUCAUGUGCAACAGU
rnacentral:miRNA from 1 species